rnacentral:rRNA from 1 species
UGCCUGUAAGACUGGGAUAACUCCGGGAAACCGGAGCUAAUACCGGAUAGUUCCUUGAACCGCAUGGUUCAAGGAUGAAAGACGGUUUCGGCUGUCACUUACAGAUGGACCCGCGGCGCAUUAGCUAGUUGGUGGGGUAAUGGCUCACCAAGGCGACGAUGCGUAGCCGACCUGAGAGGGUGAUCGGCCACACUGGGACUGAGACACGGCCCAGACUCCUACGGGAGGCAGCAGUAGGGAAUCUUCCGCAAUGGACGAAAGUCUGACGGAGCAACGCCGCGUGAGUGAUGAAGGUUUUCGGAUCGUAAAGCUCUGUUGUUAGGGAAGAACAAGUGCGAGAGUAACUGCUCGCACCUUGACGGUACCUAACCAGAAAGCCACGGCUAACUACGUGCCAGCAGCCGCGGUAAUACGUAGGUGGCAAGCGUUGUCCGGAAUUAUUGGGCGUAAAGGGCUCGCAGGCGGUUUCUUAAGUCUGAUGUGAAAGCCCCCGGCUCAACCGGGGAGGGUCAUUGGAAACUGGGAAACUUGAGUGCAGAAGAGGAGAGUGGAAUUCCACGUGUAGCGGUGAAAUGCGUAGAGAUGUGGAGGAACACCAGUGGCGAAGGCGACUCUCUGGUCUGUAACUGACGCUGAGGAGCGAAAGCGUGGGGAGCGAACAGGAUUAGAUACCCUGGUAGUCCACGCCGUAAACGAUGAGUGCUAAGUGUUAGGGGGUUUCCGCCCCUUAGUGCUGCAGCUAACGCAUUAAGCACUCCGCCUGGGGAGUACGGUCGCAAGACUGAAACUCAAAGGAAUUGACGGGGGCCCGCACAAGCGGUGGAGCAUGUGGUUUAAUUCGAAGCAACGCGAAGAACCUUACCAGGUCUUGACAUCCUCUGACAACCCUAGAGAUAGGGCUUUCCCUUCGGGGACAGAGUGACAGGUGGUGCAUGGUUGUCGUCAGCUCGUGUCGUGAGAUGUUGGGUUAAGUCCCGCAACGAGCGCAACCCUUGAUCUUAGUUGCCAGCAUUUAGUUGGGCACUCUAAGGUGACUGCCGGUGACAAACCGGAGGAAGGUGGGGAUGACGUCAAAUCAUCAUGCCCCUUAUGACCUGGGCUACACACGUGCUACAAUGGACAGAACAAAGGGCUGCGAGACCGCAAGGUUUAGCCAAUCCCAUAAAUCUGUUCUCAGUUCGGAUCGCAGUCUGCAACUCGACUGCGUGAAGCUGGAAUCGCUAGUAAUCGCGGAUCAGCAU